UUCAUUAAAACUGAGUUUAAUAUAUUCAUUUGGGUCUAAAAUGAAUGAUAACGAAUGGAUUUGUUAUAAUUCUUCUUUUUUCAUAUAGCUAGGGAUAGGGUACUCCAGGGGUAAUUUUGUAUGGAUAGUGUGUAAAUAGUGCAUAUUUCAGAAAAUAAUUUCUUCUAAACCCAAGAAGAUGUAUAAAAUCUAAACACAUAAUUACAGUGAAAAUAGAAAGUGUAAAUUAAAUUUACUCUAAUAUUUUUGUGCAAACAAAGGAUUGAAAAGAUACAGGGUGUUAAAAAUCUGGAAUUUGUGAAGAUUCUUCGUAUGAGUUAUCUCCCUUAGGAAAUUUAUAUAGGUGGCGGUAGUAAAAAAAAUGGCGGCCUCCAUGAAAAGCUGUACUCUGCAAAGUUAUUUUGAUGCAUCAUGUGGUGUUCAUUGCAAAUAUCUGUGUGAAUUGAGUAAAAAUGAUUGAAAGGAAUUUACAAGAACAGAUUGGACAUGGAGCUCCUGUAAAUUAAGAGGACAAAAAAUCCGUGAAACGAAAAAGUGUAGCUUGGGAAUAUUACUGUCAUCGUGUUGAUAAGGGUAUCAGCAAUUUUCCUUAUUACUGACAUCAGUAUGGUCUAUGUCGGAAGUUUAGCUUCUAAGUUAAUCCACCAGAAUCCAAGAGUAAGCCCUCAGAGAGGAGUUGCAGUCCGACUGUGUCAGCAUACUCAACUUGGAGAGGGAAGAUAAUGUACCGGCGCCACCGGUACAUUUGGACAGCUGUUUGAACAGCUUGAUAGAAUGAUCAAGAACUUGUUUGACUGAAGAGAUAGAAUGAAAAGGGAAGACCCAAAAGUGUUUUAUAACAGAAUGCGCAAGAUGGUUUGCAUCAUGGUUAUGAAGGAAAAGCUGACAGUAUUUUUGAGACAGCAAGAAAAACAUCAUUGCACACCACCAACUAAUAAGACUCCAAAGGAAUAACAAAGAUUAGAGUUCAAAGAAUGCUGGUACUUGGAUAAAGAUAAUCAGGCAUGGACUUUCAUCUCCCAUGGAUCUUCAGCACCUUUAGGUUACAGUUUUAUAUUUCACUAGAAGAGACUCAUAAAUAAACGAAGGACAGUCAGUUACUACAAAAGAGAAGCAUCGGAGAUUACUGAUAUUUUGUUCAGCAUUAUUUCAUCUUAAAAGAUGUAAACUAUUAAAAUUUUGUUUACAUCUAUCAAUUAAUGAUUUUGAUACAUGUACCAGUAAUUAAUAAUUUUGAUGUGGGAUAAACUGGUAAAAUUGAAUGGAAAAGAAGCAGAUGACUUGGUAAUGAUGUGUAAAAAACAUCAUUCAUUUAAUUAAUACAUGUAAUUGCAUGCAGUUAAAAUUCGACCAAAAUUCUUGUGGUGUAUAUUGAAAGGUGUAACCAAGAGGGAAACAUAAAAUGAUUUUCAUAUUAUCAUUAAAAUAAAAGUCAAGUUGUAUAUUAUACAAUUAUUUCUGUUUUUGAGGUCAUUACAAUGGUUUGGCUUGCCUAAAUGUAUGCAUUCACCGAUCCUAAAGAAGGAAGUAAAUAUUGUCCCUCGAUGGUUGUUGGAUCAAUAUAUUAACACCCUCCCCCCCCCCCCCCCUAAAAUAAAUAAAUAAAUGCAAUUUCAAUUUUUGUAUAAUACCCUAUGUAUCAUACCCAAAGGGUAUGGUG